UCCGUCGAGCCGGAGUCGAACCAGCGACCUAUGGAUGUCUGUCUCUUUCUUUCCACCUACAGUCCACCGCUCUGCCAACUGAGCUAUCGACGG
rnacentral:tRNA from 13 species